AGAGCUUGUUUCAUGAUCAGUGCACUGAAACUGGAAUAAUAUAGAGAAUGUUAGCAGGGCCCCUGUUUAAGGAGGACAUGGACAUUUAUGCAUCAUUCAUUGUUUUU